rnacentral:rRNA from 1 species
AGGUCCUUCGGGGUACUCGAGCGGCGAACGGGUGAGUAACACGUGAGCAACCUGCCCCUAGCUCUGGGAUAGCUCCGGGAAACCGGGAUUAAUACCAGAUACGACCACUUUAGACAUCUGUUGUGGUGGAAAGGAUUCCGGCUAGGGAUGGGCUCGCGGCCUAUCAGCUUGUUGGUGGGGUAACGGCCUACCAAGGCGACGACGGGUAGCCGGCCUGAGAGGGCGACCGGCCACACUGGGACUGAGACACGGCCCAGACUCCUACGGGAGGCAGCAGUGGGGAAUAUUGCGCAAUGGGCGAAAGCCUGACGCAGCGACGCCGCGUGGGGGAUGAAGGCCUUCGGGUUGUAAACCCCUUUCAGCAGGGACGAAGCGAGAGUGACGGUACCUGCAGAAGAAGCGCCGGCUAACUACGUGCCAGCAGCCGCGGUAACACGUAGGGCGCAAGCGUUGUCCGGAAUUAUUGGGCGUAAAGAGCUCGUAGGCGGUCUGUUGCGUCCGCUGUG